GACGAACGCUGGCGGCGUGCCUAAUACAUGCAAGUAGAACGCUGAAGGAGGAGCUUGCUUCUCUGGAUGAGUUGCGAACGGGUGAGUAACGCGUAGGUAACCUUCCUGGUAGCGGGGGAUAACUAUUGGAAACGAUAGCUAAUACCGCAUAAUAGCAGUUGUUGCAUGACAACUGUUUGAAAGGUGCAAUUGCACCACUACCAGAUGGACCUGCGUUGUAUUAGCUAGUUGGUGGGGUAACGGCUCACCAAGGCGACGAUACAUAGCCGACCUGAGAGGGUGAUCGGCCACACUGGGACUGAGACACGGCCCAGACUCCUACGGGAGGCAGCAGUAGGGAAUCUUCGGCAAUGGACGGAAGUCUGACCGAGCAACGCCGCGUGAGUGAAGAAGGUUUUCGGAUCGUAAAGCUCUGUUGUAAGAGAAGAACGAGUGUGAGAGUGGAAAGUUCACACUGUGACGGUAUCUUACCAGAAAGGGACGGCUAACUACGUG
rnacentral:rRNA from 1 species